rnacentral:rRNA from 1 species
UACAGAGGUCUCAAGCGUUGUUCGGAUUCAUUGGGCGUAAAGGGUGCGUAGGCGGCGCCGUAAGUCAGGUGUGAAAUUUCGGAGCUUAACUCCGAAACUGCAUUUGAUACUGCGGUGCUUGAGGACUGGAGAGGAGACUGGAAUUUACGGUGUAGCAGUGAAAUGCGUAGAGAUCGUAAGGAAGACCAGUGGCGAAGGCGGGUCUCUGGACAGUUCCUGACGCUGAGGCACGAAAGCGUGGGGAGCAAACAGG